AUGGGGUACCUUGCACCGGAACUUAUAUGCACCGGGAAGGCAACACCCUUAACCGAUGUGUUCGCAUUUGGUGUGUUUCUCCUUAAGGUCGCAUGUGGGCGUAGGCCAAUCAACGGUAGCAAGGAUAUCACAGAGUUAGUGUUGGUUGAAUGGGUGCUAGAACAUCACUGCAACGGCUCAAUUCUUGACGUCGUCGAUCCACGUCUCAUGGGGAAUUUCAACACAGAGGAAGCCACCCUCCUGCUCAAAUUAGGUUUGUUAUGCUCCUACCCAUCGGCCAAUGCAAGGCCUAGCAUGCGAAAAGUCAUGCAAUAUUUGGAUCAUGACCAGUCAAUCCCUGACUUGGCUGCAACCUACAUGAGUUACGGCACAAUAGCAAUGAUGGAGAAUGAAGGGUUCAAUUCGUACAUGAUGUCCUGCCCUUCAUUGAAUACAAGUAUUUGUGUUGUAUCUAGUGAGUCUACGGUGUCGAUUUUCGAAGAGGGAAGGCGAAUGCUUGUAAUGUACUCCUCUUUUUUUGCUCUUCUCUUAAUGUUCCUUUAA
rnacentral:rRNA from 1 species